AAUAAACGUUGGCGGCGUGCUUAACACAUGCAAGUCGAGCGAGAAAGGUCCUUCGGGGCUGAGUAAAGCGGCAAACGGGUGCGUAACACGUGGGAAUUUACCUUUCAGUGAAGAAUACCCUCGAGAAAUCGAGGUUAAUACUGCAUACGUCUCGCAAGAGAGAAAGAUGGCCUCUUUGCCGUCGCUGAAGGAUAAGCCUGCGGUCUAUUAGCUUGUUGGUGGGGUAAAGGCCUACCAAGGCGAUGAUGGAUAGCCGGCCUGAGAGGGUGUACGGCCACACUGGAACUUAGACACGGUCCAGACUCCUACGGGAGGCAGCAGUGAGGAAUAUUGCGCAAUGGGCGAAAGCCUGACGCAGCGACGCCGCGUGGAGGAUGAAGGUCUUAGGAUUGUAAACUUCUGUUAAGUGGGAAGAAAGGCAAAAUGUUAAUAGCAUUUUGAGAUGACGGUACCGCUAGAGAAAGCACCGGCUAACUUCGUG
rnacentral:rRNA from 1 species